rnacentral:rRNA from 1 species
GAGUUUGAUCCUGGCUCAGGACGAACGCUGGCGGCGCGCCUAACACAUGCAAGUCGAGCGAAGCACUCUGCUUUGAUUCUUUCGGGAUGAAGAGCAUUGUGGCUGAGCGGCGGACGGGUGAGUAACGCGUGGGUAACCUGCCUCAUACAGGGGGAUAACAGUUAGAAAUGGCUGCUAAUACCGCAUAAGCGCACAGAGCUGCAUGGCUCGGUGUGAAAAACUCCGGUGGUAUAAGAUGGACCCGCGUUGGAUUAGCUAGUUGGCAGGGUAACGGCCUACCAAGGCGACGAUCCAUAGCCGGCCUGAGAGGGUGAACGGCCACAUUGGGACUGAGACACGGCCCAGACUCCUACGGGAGGCAGCAGUGGGGGAUAUUGCACAAUGGGGGAAACCCUGAUGCAGCGACGCCGCGUGGAGGAAGAAGGUUUUCGGAUUGUAAACUCCUGUCGUUAGGGACGAUAAUGACGGUACCUAACAAGAAAGCACCGGCUAACUACGUGCCAGCCGCCGCGGUAAUUC